UUGUCAAAAUUUAGCAUUUGAUCAUUACAAAAAAAUUUUCAAUAUAAAAAGAUGCUUUUUAUACAUAUUCAAGCAUUCCUACAAUAUAGCAAAUACUAACGCUUCAAAAAGUGUCAUUAUAGGCCUCUUUGUGUCAAAUCAAUUUGUUAAAUGAUAAAUUUUGCUAUUAUUUUUAAUUUUUCGGUGUUUUAAAGUGUCAGAGUUUUAAAAAUCUUGACACUUUAAAGCGUCGAAAUAGAUUUUAUCGACGGUUGGCAUAAGCGUCGGUAUAUAUGUGACGACUCUUCAUUUGCUGAUGCUUUAAUCAAUGCUUUCAAAUAUAACCUUAGACUAUAUUGGGACACUUUUAAACAUUGUUAAAUAAAAAAAAAUAUUCUUAAAUGCUAAUUUUUUUUGUAGUGGAUAUAUAUUCGUAUUCGAAUUCGUACUUGAAAAGAAAUUAAAAAACAAUAAAUGCGAAUAUGAUUUUU
rnacentral:lncRNA from 1 species